GUACAAAGAAGGGCUUCAUGCAGCCAGAAACUCACCUGCCCCUGAGAUCAGCAGAAGUACUCUAACAGCAAGUGAAGUGCUUCAAGAAUCUUGGAAGAAGAGGCCUUAUUUGGAUGCAGGCCUCCUACCCAUUGUUCCAGACUACCAGAUCUACAGAGAGGUCAUGAUUCCGGAGUAUGAAGUGAGGUCAGGAUGAGGUGGGG